CAAUGACCUUCAGCAUCAUCACAAUGACCUACAGUAUCAUACAAUGACCUUCAGUAUCAUCACAGGGACCUUCAGUAUCAUCACAAUGACAUACAGUGUCAUCACAGUGACCUUCAGUGUCAUCACAAUAACAUACAGUAUCAUUAAAAGACUAUUAUGUAAUAAAUUGAGCAGUCUUUGUGUCCUUUAUACCCUUAUUUUAUAGUCUGGGCUGUCACUAGUACCAGCAGAUGACUGAAAAUCAUAACGUGACCCAAUCCCUGUUGUGAAUCUCAAUACUGGCAUGUCCUUAAAUGACCAUAGCUGUAAAUAGGACAAAUACAAACAAACCUAUAGCCUGUCAAAGGUGUUUAUGGAAUGGGAGGUAUUGUAGUAGCGGGAGCAUCACUUUGGUUUCCUUAGGAUCACUUACUUGAAUAUCAAUUGAUUUUGGAGAUACUAAAGGUAAGCAUGUUAAAUAUACAAUGAGUAUGAUUAGGUUGGAAGUUGAGCGAAAUCUGUGCAUAAUUAUUUACCAUACUGUGCUGUGAUUGGUCAUUUGAUUGGUUGACGGUUUCCGCACAAUUACUUUAUUAAAUGUGAUGUAAUGAAACUUGGUCAACACUCAUAUUAUACAAAGACUUGGCCAAUGAUUAAAUAUAAAGAUAAAUACAUAAGUUAAAGUUAGAGAAAGUCUGCACUGAAUUAAUUAACCUACUGCAUUCUGAUAAGUCAACAAUUUCCUCUCAAUAACUUAGUCACUUCGGGUAGAUUUUGAUGGAACUUUGUCAAUAUUUACACUUUUAACGAUAUCUGCCAGUACUAAAUAAACAUUCUUCAAUUUUAAUGGUUAAAGAUUAAUCAUUGAUUGGAAAAGAGAGUCAAUUUCUUUUUGUUCUUCGCUCAUCUGGUCUUGAAGGACGGGUAAGCUUAUGCGAUACCAUGACAUCCGUCGUCUGUCCAUCAUCAAUUUCUUAAAAACAACUUCUUCUAAACUGCUGAUUGAAAUUGGACCAAAUUUGACUGGAAGCAUCUUUAGGAUGUGGGGAUUUUAGAUUGUACAAAUGGAUGGGUUGACCCCCAGGGUUGGCGGACAUGGCCAAAAAGGGUCAUAUUGCUUUACAUGAUUUCUUAGGAACUAAGAGAAGGAUAUCAACCAUAUUUGAUUGGAAGUAUUCUCAUGGCAGCCCUAAUAAUGACUAUAUAGUAUGGUACUAGGUAGCCAGGUACAAAGGUACCUGUGACAGCCCUAAUAAUGACAUCACUAUAUAGUAUGGUACUGGGUAGACAGGUACACAGGGACCUGUGACAGCCCUAAUAAUGACAUCCCUAUAUAGUAUGGUACUGGGUAGACAGGUACACAUGUACCUGUGACAGGCCUAAUAAUGACAUCACUAUAUAGUAUGGUACUGGGCAGACAGGUACAUGUGACAGCCCUAAUAAUGACAUCACUAUAUAGUAUGGUAUAUUGGACAGCCAAGUAUACAGGUACAUGUGACAGCCCUAAUAAUGAUAUCACUAUAUAGUAUAGUACUGGCUAUGGGUAGACAGGUUUCUGUCUUAGCCAGAUACACUGGUGCUCAUGACAGUUGAACUUUGUAUGAAUUUUGGUAGCUUUUUAGUGAGUACAAGUACUCACCAUGCCCACAGAGUAGUAUUGAACUGGGUUCGGUUCAUGUCUUACGUCCUUUUAACAGCUAAAGUCAUUUAAGGACAUGCAAGGAUUUGAUGGUGGAGGAAAGCCAUAGUGCCUGGAGAAAAACAACCAACCUGCGGCCAGUGGCCCAGUAGUGGAGGGCUACUGAUCGUAGACAGUCAGAAACCUUAACCACUCCGCCACCGUGGCCACUGGUUCUGAUCUAUACACAAAUUAUAUAACUAUUGGUAGAUACAUAAUGUUACCUAACUUUGUCAACUGGAUAACACAACAACUUGGUAGUAAAGCGGACGUAACACCACUCAAACUUAUAAGUGUACCUGUGAGAGGAAUUUUCUGCCUUACACAUUAAUGACAUGCAUUAUUCAACAGUUCAUUAUCACUCAAGUGUCAUAGUACUUACAUUCUUUUGUACCUUAACAAGUAUUUAGAUUAAUCAAAUGCAGACUUAACUAUUCUUACCCCUUUUUUUUCGUUUUUCCUUUCCCGGUCCGAAGGAUCUAGCUGAGCAUAUUAUGUACCGUGGCAUCUGUUAUUUGUCAAUCUGUCCACCAAUAAUUUCUUCAAACAACUUCUUCAUAACGUCUGAUUGGAAUUUAACAAAAUUUGAUUGGAAGUAUCCCUAGGUGAUGAGGAUACAAAAGUGUCCAAAUGGAGGGGCUGACCCCACCCAUACAUCCCAACUUGCAAGGUCAUUACUUUGAAACUGUUGAGAUCCAAACCUUUAACCAUAAUACAAAUGCUGGGCAUAAAGAGACAAAAUACAGUAAAGGUAUUAGACUUGUCCCUGUGGUCUGGCCUCACCCUUAGAGAAUUAGUCCCUGGGUCAUCACAUGGAAACUUUUGAGAUCCCAACCCUAUCAUAAUAUCCCUAUCCCUAAGAUAUUACUUGCCAUCCAAUUUUCAUUUAGAAUCUUUUGCUAUGAUUGCUUAAAUGUCCAGGUGAGCGAUACAGGCCUCUUGGGCCUCUUGUUUAAGAUUGGACCUCUUUUGGAAAUAAGUUGGUCUUAAAGAAAUUAAGUUAGAUUUAUCUUUAAUUCCCCAAUCUGGCUUAAUAAAAUAUAACUGUCGUAACCCAACUUUUGUUCAGUAAGUUCUGACUGGCUGUGUGCUCGGUAUACUCUACACCAGACUGUAUGUUCAGUAGGGUAUACUCUACACCAGACUGUAUGUUCAACAAGAUUUCUUAAUCGGUAGAAGCUGAUAAAACCAUGAUUUGUUUUCCUCCAAAUGAUGUGAUUAAGAGAAUUACCUGGUACCUAAGCAUAUAUACAGAUAUUUUUAUUUACAGUGAAAUUAUAAGUUAACAGACAAUAUUAUCAACUUUGGUGAACACAUACCUCUAAAUGUAGGAAGCUCUCUCUCCAACUCUCUGGUAAUGGAGGUGCUUCAAUAUGAAACUGUCGACUUUCAUUUUAAUGAGGAGCAAUGGUAACAGGAGGAAUGUACACUAGUCAUAUUAAUGUAGCGGAACUGGACUGGGUCUAUCAUUGACGACCAGGUAGCUCAAUUGGUAGAGCGUUCGUCUAGAGUUCGGAGGGUCCCGGGUUCGAACCCCGGUCUGGCCGUUACAUUUUUCUCUUUCUCCUGUUAUAUUAAUAAUGUCGUUGUGAGUAGAACUCUUCUAGGGAGCAACAGACACUUGUUACCCAAUGGUCACCAAGCUGCAAGUAGAUGAAGGGUCCCUUUACCACUACCAAAAACUGUCAAUAUCCAUUGUAGCUUUAUUUCCAGCGCAACUAUAGCUUUGUUAAAUCAUUACUCAAUAGGAAACCAUACUGUGCAGGGCUUCUGUGAGAAGAAAACAAAAUAUUAGCAACAACAGUUAUAUCCAAAAGGAAAUUAAGGGGAGGUUACUGUAUCAAAAAUCCUUAAUUUUUUGCUGUGUAUGAUUGCAUUUUACUAACCAUGGUAUGUUUAUAUACAUAUAUAUCUACCAUUGUAUAUAUCAUAUAUUAAAUACAUCUGACCAAGAUAAUCUGGUCACAUGUAAAUCUCUAUAUAACUAUGUGUAAUCAUGACUAUAUAUUAUAGCCUGUACCUUUUACAUCCUCAAAGAGCCACAUUAAAAAGGUGGGCCAUUUGUAACUAAUGCUUUCAUACUGUCUAAAAAAUUAUACUCUUGAAUAUUCUGAUUGAAAAAAGAAGAUAUGUAUUUUUUAUUGUAAAUACAAACCAUUAUAUAAUAUGUCAUGUCUGAAAGCUGGGCAAGUGGACUGUAUGUAUAUAUAUAGAUAUAGGAUCUCUGUAUAAAACUUGUUAACAAUGUACUAACACUGAUGUUUCUCUGUGAAGUAGUGGAUGUUUCUCUGUGAGGUAGUGGAUGUUUCUCUGUGAGAUAGUGGAUGUUUCUCUGUGAGGUAGUGGAUCAUUUAAUAAUAUAUGUUUAUAGUUACAUGGUUUGAGAGAGCUGUGAUAUUUUGAAGAUAAUUUUUCAAUGCUACCUACAUAAUACAAACUGAGGUCAUACUUACUGUAACAACAUCUGAUACACCUAGAUACGAGGUCAUACUUACUGUAACAACAUCUGAUACACCUAGAUACAAGGUCAUACUUACUGUACCAGACUGACAUAACAACAUCUGAUACACAGAGAUACGAGGUCAUACUUACUGUACCAGGCUGACAUAACAACAUCUUAUACACCGAGAUACGAGGUCAUACUUACUGUAACAACAUCUGAUACACUGAGAUACGAGGUCAUACUUACUGUACCAGACUGACAUAACAACAUUUGAUACACCGAGAUACGAGGUCAUACUUACUGUACCAGGCUGACAUAACAACAUUUGAUACACCGAGAUACGAGAUCAUACUUACUGUAACAGCAUCUGAUACACCGAGAUACGAAGUCAUACUUACUGUACCAGGCUGACAUAACAACAUCUGAUACACCGAGAUAGGAGGUCAUACUUACUGUACCAGGCUGACAUAACAGCAUCUGAUACACCGCGAUACGAGGUCAUACUUACUGUACCAGGCUGACAUAACAACAUCUGAUACACCGAGAUACGAGGUCAUACUUACUGUACCAGACUGACAUAACAACAUCUGAUACACAGAAAUACGAGGUCAUACUUACUGUACCAGGCUGACAUAACAACAUCUGAUACACAGAGAUACGAGGUCAUACUCACUGUACCAGGCUGACAUAACAACAUCUGAUACACCGAGAUAUGAGGUCAUACUUACUGUACCAGGCUGACAUAACAACAUCUGAUACACCGAGAUACGAGGUCAUACUUACUGUACCAGGCUGACAUAGCAACAUCUGAUACAUUACACGUUAUUGAUAUAUUAUACUUUGUCAGCGACUUUGAUCAAAUGUCAACAAAGGCUUUACUGAGAAAAGGUUUUGAUAAUCAUAUGAUGUUCCAUAGGGUCUGGUGUCCAGUAGGUACCUGGGAAUAGAGUGCUAUAAAGUUUCCUAAUAUAAAUGAACUUAAAAUACUUUUAGGGUCACAGGGUUACUUUGGUCAUAACUUAAAAAUGGUGGAGGUCCCCCAUCCUGUAACCAUAUGUGCUGUCACUGGGUAUUAGGAAACAAAUGCAAUCACACUACCAGGAUUAUCUCUGGGGAAGGUCCCGCCCUAUGGACUUAAUCCUAUAUCAUGAUAUGUAAAUAUCCACACAUAUUUAAAUUUCAAACAAAUUUGCCAUCAAAAAUCCAUUUGCUGUAAAUCAAAUUUAUAUUUAGCAAGGAUGUUCUGCUGAAUUUUUAGCCUAGAAAAAGGGAAGUGUUUGUAGAUAACUUUAAAUGAAAAUAUUUUCCUAUAAUCGCUUCAACAUGCAUGUGAGUGGUGCAAGCCUUCUAGGCAUAUUGCAUAUUGAAGAUACAUAGAGUGUCACCUUACAAAAUCAGACUUUUAGACAGGUAAGAUAUAUCCUGUUAUCUUUUUAAGGCAUUAUUGAAACAACCCUUUCAAACCAACCAUAGUAGAUUAAUUAAUAGAUAGCUUAUUAUUGUUGAGUAUUGAAUAUUAUUCUCGUACAAUAAUUUAUGCAACUAAAAUAUUGAAACAAUUGUCACCGAUGUAAAUAUUGUCUUUUAAUCUUCCACACCAGUCUGUAGUAACUGUACUGUUACACUAUCUUAAUGGAAUAGUAACAGUGAUGAUGUCACACCAGUUUGUAGUAAAUGUUACAAUAUCUUAAUGGAAUAGUAACAGUGAUAAUGUCACACCAGUUUGUAGUAACUGGUACAACAUCUUAAUGGAAUAGUAACAGUGAUGAUGUCACACCAGUUUGUAGUAACUGUUAAAACAUCUUAAUGGAAUAGUAACAGUGAUGAUGUCACACCAGUUUGUAGUAAAUGUUACAAUACCUUAAUGGAAUAGUAACAGUGAUGAUGUCACACCAGUUUGUAGUAACUGUUAAAACAUCUUAAUGGAAUAGUAACAGUGAUGAUGUCACACCAGUCUGUAGUAACUGUACUGUUAGAAUAUCUUAAUGGAAUAGUAACAGUGAUGAUGUCACACCAGUUUGUAGUAACUGUUAAAACAUCUUAAUGGAAUAGUAACAGUGAUGAUGUCACACCAGUCUGUAGUAAAUGUUCUGUUACACUAUCUUAAUGGAAUAGUAACAGUGAUGAUGUCACACUAAGCAACCAUUGCGCUAGGAUAAUAUUGUAAUAUUUACUAACUAUUUGCUGACAUUUAAAGGAAUAUUCAUCAUAUAAAAUAGGCAUUAUGAUUUGUACAUGUUUUAUAAUAUGAGAAAAACCUGCCACUAAGCCCUGUGAGAGUGAUUUUGAUAAUGAAUACAGAAGGAGUGGGAGAGCGUGAUAAUUAUGAACUAGAGUGUAAUAUCAGUGUGAGAGGUUGUGUAUGUUACAUCAUCAGAGCUAUGACAGUAGAACGUUUUGUUAAGUAGUUAUGUUGGUCCACUACAGUGUUUAGCUGUGUGUAGUGCUCUAUAGCUUACUGUAAGGUUACACUGGAGAUACAACAUUGUUAUGUUUUGUAUUAGUGACAGUGCAGAAUAUUGUUAUAGAUGUACCAAUAAAUGAUCAGUGGAUAUUUCACUAGUAUCCCAUCUCAAUAAAACUAAAUAUAA